UUCCUCUCAGGGUUGCACCUGGAGAGUUUCCAGGCCACUACCAGUCUUGGAUAUGGGAGGGAGAGUAAAGCAAAGGCCUACCCUUUCCAUUCCUAGCUUGGGCAGUGGCUAGCAAGUGGAAGGCAAUCUGCUACAAGU